UACGGAGGGGGCUAGCGUUGUUCGGAAUUACUGGGCGUAAAGGGCACGUAGGCGGCGCAGCUAGUUAGAUGUGAAAGACCUGGGCUCAACCGAGGAAUUGCAUUUAAUACUGCUGUGCUAGAGUCCGAGAGAGGUGAGUGGAAUUCCCAGUGUAGAGGUGAAAUUCGUAGAUAUUGGGAAGAACACCAGUGGCGAAGGCGGCUCACUGGCUCGGUACUGACGCUGAGGUGCGAAAGCGUGGGGAGCAAACAGG
rnacentral:misc_RNA from 1 species